rnacentral:rRNA from 1 species
GUGCCAGCAGCCGCGGUAAUACGUAGGGUCCGAGCGUUGUCCGGAAUUAUUGGGCGUAAAGAGCUCGUAGGCGGUCCGUUAAGUCGGAAGUGAAAUCUCAAGGCUCAACCUUGAAAUCGCUUUCGAUACUGGCGGACUUGAGGCAGGUAGGGGAAGGUGGAAUUCCUGGUGUAGCGGUGAAAUGCGCAGAUAUCAGGAGGAACACCGGUGGCGAAGGCGGCCUUCUGGGCCUGUUCUGACGCUGAGGAGCGAAAGCGUGGGGAGCAAACAGGAUUAGAUACCCCCGUAGUCC